rnacentral:rRNA from 1 species
AUUGAACGCUGGCGGCAGGCCUAACACAUGCAAGUCGAGCGGAUGAAGGGAGCUUGCUCCUGGAUUCAGCGGCGGACGGGUGAGUAAUGCCUAGGAAUCUGCCUGGUAGUGGGGGAUAACGUCCGGAAACGGGCGCUAAUACCGCAUACGUCCUGAGGGAGAAAGUGGGGGAUCUUCGGACCUCACGCUAUCAGAUGAGCCUAGGUCGGAUUAGCUAGUUGGUGGGGUAAAGGCCUACCAAGGCGACGAUCCGUAACUGGACUGUGAGGAUGAUCGGUCACACUGGAACUGGGCCACGGACCAGGCUCCUACGGGAGGCAGCAGUGGGGAAUAUUGGGCAAUGGGCGAAAGCCUGAUCCAGCCAUGCCGCGUGUGUGAAGAAGGUCUUCGGAUUGUAAAGCACUUUAAGUUGGGAGGAAGGGCAGUAAGUUAAUACCUUGCUGUUUUGACGUUACCAACAGAAUAAGCACCGGCUAACUUCGUG